CUUGCCCGACGCGCUGAGAGGAGGUGCAUGGCCGUCGCCAGCUCGUGCCGUGAGGUGUCCGGUUAAGUCCGGCAACGAGCGAGACCCCCGCCCCUAGUUGCUACCCGGGGCUCCGGCCCCGGGGCACACUAGGGGGACUGCCGCCGUUUAAGGCGGAGGAAGGAGGGGGCCACGGCAGGUCAGCAUGCCCCGAAACCCCCGGGCUACACGCGGGCUACAAUGGCGGGGACAGCGGGAUCCGACCCCGAAAGGGGGAGGUAAUCCCUCAAACCCCGCCGCAGUUGGGAUCGAGGGCUGCAACUCGCCCUCGUGAACGUGGAAUCCCUAGUAACCGCGCGUCAUCAUCGCGCGGUGAAUACGUCCCUGCUCCU
rnacentral:rRNA from 1 species